rnacentral:rRNA from 1 species
UUAAGCGACUAAGCGUACACGGUGGAUGCCCUGGCAGUCAGAGGCGAUGAAGGACGUGCUAAUCUGCGAUAAGCGUCGGUAAGGUGAUAUGAACCGUUAUAACCGGCGAUUUCCGAAUGGGGAAACCCAGUGUGAUUCGUCACACUAUCAUUAACUGAAUCCAUAGGUUAAUGAGGCGAACCGGGGGAACUGAAACAUCUAAGUACCCCGAGGAAAAGAAAUCAACCGAGAUUUCCCCAGUAGCGGCGAGCGAACGGGGAGCAGCCCAGAGCCUGAAUCAGUGUGUGUGUUAGUGGAAGCGUCUGGAAAGGCGCGCGAUACAGGGUGACAGCCCCGUACACAAAAAUGCACAUGCUGUGAGCUCGAUGAGUAGGGCGGGACACGUGGUAUCCUGUCUGAAUAUGGGGGGACCAUCCUCCAAGGCUAAAUACUCCUGACUGACCGAUAGUGAACCAGUACCGUGAGGGAAAGGCGAAAAGAACCCCGGCGAGGGGAGUGAAAAAGAACCUGAAACCGUGUACGUACAAGCAGUGGGAGCACGCUUAGGCGUGUGACUGCGUACCUUUUGUAUAAUGGGUCAGCGACUUAUAUUCUGUAGCAAGGUUAACCGAAUAGGGGAGCCGAAGGGAAACCGAGUCUUAACUGGGCGUUAAGUUGCAGGGUAUAGACCCGAAACCCGGUGAUCUAGCCAUGGGCAGGUUGAAGGUUGGGUAACACUAACUGGAGGACCGAACCGACUAAUGUUGAAAAAUUAGCGGAUGACUUGUGGCUGGGGGUGAAAGGCCAAUCAAACCGGGAGAUAGCUGGUUCUCCCCGAAAGCUAUUUAGGUAGCGCCUCGUGAAUUCAUCUCCGGGGGUAGAGCACUGUUUCGGCAAGGGGGUCAUCCCGACUUACCAACCCGAUGCAAACUGCGAAUACCGGAGAAUGUUAUCACGGGAGACACACGGCGGGUGCUAACGUCCGUCGUGAAGAGGGAAACAACCCAGACCGCCAGCUAAGGUCCCAAAGUCAUGGUUAAGUGGGAAACGAUGUGGGAAGGCCCAGACAGCCAGGAUGUUGGCUUAGAAGCAGCCAUCAUUUAAAGAAAGCGUAAUAGCUCACUGGUCGAGUCGGCCUGCGCGGAAGAUGUAACGGGGCUAAACCAUGCACCGAAGCUGCGGCAGCGACACUAUGUGUUGUUGGGUAGGGGAGCGUUCUGUAAGCCUGUGAAGGUGUACUGUGAGGUAUGCUGGAGGUAUCAGAAGUGCGAAUGCUGACAUAAGUAACGAUAAAGCGGGUGAAAAGCCCGCUCGCCGGAAGACCAAGGGUUCCUGUCCAACGUUAAUCGGGGCAGGGUGAGUCGACCCCUAAGGCGAGGCCGAAAGGCGUAGUCGAUGGGAAACAGGUUAAUAUUCCUGUACUUGGUGUUACUGCGAAGGGGGGACGGAGAAGGCUAUGUUGGCCGGGCGACGGUUGUCCCGGUUUAAGCGUGUAGGCUGGUUUUCCAGGCAAAUCCGGAAAAUCAAGGCUGAGGCGUGAUGACGAGGCACUACGGUGCUGAAGCAACAAAUGCCCUGCUUCCAGGAAAAGCCUCUAAGCAUCAGGUAACAUCAAAUCGUACCCCAAACCGACACAGGUGGUCAGGUAGAGAAUACCAAGGCGCUUGAGAGAACUCGGGUGAAGGAACUAGGCAAAAUGGUGCCGUAACUUCGGGAGAAGGCACGCUGAUAUGUAGGUGAAGUCCCUCGCGGAUGGAGCUGAAAUCAGUCGAAGAUACCAGCUGGCUGCAACUGUUUAUUAAAAACACAGCACUGUGCAAACACGAAAGUGGACGUAUACGGUGUGACGCCUGCCCGGUGCCGGAAGGUUAAUUGAUGGGGUCAGCGCAAGCGAAGCUCUUGAUCGAAGCCCCGGUAAACGGCGGCCGUAACUAUAACGGUCCUAAGGUAGCGAAAUUCCUUGUCGGGUAAGUUCCGACCUGCACGAAUGGCGUAAUGAUGGCCAGGCUGUCUCCACCCGAGACUCAGUGAAAUUGAACUCGCUGUGAAGAUGCAGUGUACCCGCGGCAAGACGGAAAGACCCCGUGAACCUUUACUAUAGCUUGACACUGAACAUUGAGCCUUGAUGUGUAGGAUAGGUGGGAGGCUUUGAAGUGUGGACGCCAGUCUGCAUGGAGCCGACCUUGAAAUACCACCCUUUAAUGUUUGAUGUUCUAACGUGGACCCGUAAUCCGGGUUGCGGACAGUGUCUGGUGGGUAGUUUGACUGGGGCGGUCUCCUCCUAAAGAGUAACGGAGGAGCACGAAGGUUGGCUAAUCCUGGUCGGACAUCAGGAGGUUAGUGCAAUGGCAUAAGCCAGCUUGACUGCGAGCGUGACGGCGCGAGCAGGUGCGAAAGCAGGUCAUAGUGAUCCGGUGGUUCUGAAUGGAAGGGCCAUCGCUCAACGGAUAAAAGGUACUCCGGGGAUAACAGGCUGAUACCGCCCAAGAGUUCAUAUCGACGGCGGUGUUUGGCACCUCGAUGUCGGCUCAUCACAUCCUGGGGCUGAAGUAGGUCCCAAGGGUAUGGCUGUUCGCCAUUUAAAGUGGUACGCGAGCUGGGUUUAGAACGUCGUGAGACAGUUCGGUCCCUAUCUGCCGUGGGCGCUGGAGAACUGAGGGGGGCUGCUCCUAGUACGAGAGGACCGGAGUGGACGCAUCACUGGUGUUCGGGUUGUCAUGCCAAUGGCACUGCCCGGUAGCUAAAUGCGGAAGAGAUAAGUGCUGAAAGCAUCUAAGCACGAAACUUGCCCCGAGAUGAGUUCUCCCUGACUCCUUGAGAGUCCUGAAGGAACGUUGAAGACGACGACGUUGAUAGGCCGGGUGUGUAAGCGCAGCGAUGCGUUGAGCUAACCGGUACUAAUGAACCGUGAGGCUUAACCUU